rnacentral:rRNA from 1 species
UACGAAGGGGGGCUAGCGUUGCUCGGAAUCACUGGGCGUAAAGGGUGCGUAGGCGGGGUCUUUAAGUCAGGGGUGAAAUCCUGGAGCUCAACUCCAGAACUGCCUUUGAUACUGAAGAUCUUGAGUUCGGGAGAGGUGAGUGGAACUGCGAGUGUAGAGGUGAAAUUCGUAGAUAUUCGCAAGAACACCAGUGGCGAAGGCGGCUCACUGGCCCGAUACUGACGCUGAGGCACGAAAGCGUGGGGAGCAAACAGGG